AUGAGGCUUCUUCGUACAGAAGACCAUGGUUGGUGCGUUAGCAUCUUCAGUAAUGAGCAUAACCAUCAUCUGUCUGGAAAUCAAGAGGAGACAAGGGAAUGGCAUUCACACAGUGAGAUCAACCCUGUACUUAUGAACUUCAUCAAGGAUUUGAGAGAGAACAAUAUCAGUCUCAGCAAGGUGCACAACAUACUAAAUGCAACGCAUGGUGAUCAGGCUGGUGCACCGUUCCGUAAGCAAUCUUUAAGGUGUGCUCAUGCGCGAGGAAACAGUAGCUGGAUUCGAGUGGGCUUUCGGAAAUUUUGUUGA
rnacentral:rRNA from 1 species